CUUACUUCUAUUUAUUUUGAUUUGGUUGACGUCAUUUAGGCUUGUAAAAUUGGUAACAGAUUCCAGCUCCACCAUCAUCCUCUCGGCAUUUGCCGCCAUCAUUGUUGCAUGGUUUGUUUGAAUUUUAAAGAAAACUUAAGGUUCUUCUGUUUACGAAUAAGAAUUUACAAUUAUAAUGAAUUAUAAUGAUUUUGAAACACAGUAAAACCUGCACUUCAUGAUUUUAUAAUAUUACCCAACGGUAAUAUUCGUCGGGCCCGUGCAGGCCCGCUUAGCUAGCCUUAGGCUACCAUGCAUGUUAUAACAGUAAAUAUAUUAGUCUUACGAAUUCCUAGGGAAUGUUGCGAUGUAGCAAAAGAAAAUCCAAGUCACCCUAUGCUAGGCCUGUCAGGACCCCAACUGACAGGUCCAUUGCAGACACGGCCCCCGUGAUCACGGCAACCCAGGUGUCACAGCCAGCCAGCCAGACUGCUAAUUCAUCGGUGGCAACCCUUAAUCCUCCUGAAGUCCCACAACUUCCUGAAGUCCCUCAUUCAGCUAGCGUGAACUCCGAAUCCUCAGUGGCAACCUCUUAUCCACUUUCUAUAGGGGAUAUUACAACGGAGUAAUCCUUGACAUCAGGUCUACAGCUAUGUACGUCAACGCUAUAACGCCAGUAUUUAUCCUCCACCUCCCUCUGUGUAAAAACAGUCUCCCUGUCAUGGUACUAGGGCAGAAUUUUGUCCGCUUGUGGCGGAUGUCUUCAUGUAAUAUAUUAAUCUAUUUAU